UUGCUGUGAUGAUACCCUCAACUGUGGUUUCAACUUGCUGAGAGUUGAAUGAGGACGCUAAAUUCCUUGGCUGUGUCUGAGCAU
ensembl:snoRNA